rnacentral:rRNA from 1 species
GACGUAGGGCGCGAGCGUUGUCCGGAUUUAUUGGGCGUAAAGAGCUCGUAGGCGGCUUGUCGCGUCGUCCGUGAAAACCAGGGGCUCAACCCCUGGCUUGCGGUCGAUACGGGCAGGCUAGAGUUCGGUAGGGGAGACUGGAAUUCCUGGUGUAGCGGUGAAAUGCGCAGAUAUCAGGAGGAACACCGAUGGCGAAGGCAGAUCUCUGGGCCGUAACUGACGCUGAGGAGCGAAAGCAUGGGGAGCGAACAGG